UCCCCAUAACCAUUAAUGCAAGACAUCCCUUCACAAAUAUAGAAAAUACAUACUGUAUAUCCGAUCUGUAUAAUGUACAAAUUUGUGAAGCAUCUAUUAAUUACCUUACGUUGCUCCAUUUUAAUUUUGUAGGAUUUUGCCAAUUUUGUGUUGUCGUAACAUCCAUUUUCGAAAGGUUCAGUCAACUGAUGGCGAUAACAGGUAAUUUAGAGUUUUUACGUACAGUAAUGUAGUUUAUACAUAAUUUAGUCUAGUUUAUACAACUAUAUAGUUACCCAAACAAAAUGUGCAUGAGACAAAUGUUGAUGUUUGUUUCUUUGUUUAUAUAUAUAUAUAUAUAUAUAUAUGUUUUUUUGAAAUAUAUAUAUAUGUUUCUUUGUAUAAAGCGAGUAGCGAAAAACAAAAUCGUGACAAAUAAUGAUUAAUGCUUACUGUAAUACAAACUAUAGUUCAUUGCAUAAUGGCUCUGACCCUGACUAAGUGUAAGAAGUUUAAAGCUAUAAUAUUUACACUUACUGUACUGUAUAUAUUGUACAUAUACUGCAUGUAUAUUGGUUCAUUCCUACGAAGUAUUAUAACAUUUUUAAAUGUAUAUAUAAUCAGUGUUUGCGUUGAAAACACUUUAGCUCACUAUAUAGAGUAUAUAGUCUGAGGCAGUAUCUUGAUCAUAGCUUUAAGAGACAUCAUGAAACUUAUAUCAAGACUUGCUACAGUAUCUCUUCUAGUUCAUGAAUAUAGUAACCCAAAUAGCGUAAUUUUUAGCACAAUAAAGACAUCACAGUAUAUUACAAGAUCGCGUACUGUUAUCGUCAUCCACCAAAAUUAUGCCGUUCAUAUCAUAAUCAAAAUCGCCGAGCAGUUCUUUCACUUCAAAAUUUCUCUGUUUGACCCCAGACAAACCUGCAGUCAUCCACUCUUCGACUAUCUUUCUAACGCAAUGCUUUGACAAUUUAUUCAUGCAUCUAUGAUCAUCAUGGAAUACACUGCCCUGUGGGUUGUUAAAGACGCCUGAAUUAAAUUUAAUCUCUCCGUUUUGUAUUGCAAAACCUUCGCCAACGACGCUCUUCGUCUUAGGUUCACCGAAGGCAUUUCUAUAGACAGCUCCGUGAACUUGACCAAACUCUUCACUCUUCAAUUUCUCAACAUUUUCUGAAUCUGUGUCUUGAAUGACGAUAUAGCCAGACUUACAGUGAGUGUUGUUGGCGGUUCUCCAGUCCGACUUGCCGUUGUAUUGGUAAAUAAUUACUCCAGCAUAGUUGUGAGCUUCUUGAUACCUGUCAGAUUUGCACGAGAUAUGCAUGGUUUUGACAUGCAUAUCUCGUUUAAUCCAUGACUUAGGCUUUAACGUAAUUUUGUCCUUUGCUGACGAUGCAACCAAGUAACCACCACCAAAGAAGCUGCAUGCCAUCUUUGUUUCGAGUACAAGAUCUGUAACGGAGUCGAGUCAUACAAAUUCACUAACCGGUAGGUCAAAUACGAAAGACUUUUGCUUUUCUGUGCAUGAUACCUCACGUUUGUAUUCAUUAUAUUUUGGUGAUAGUCAUUGCUUGCAUGCAGACCACACAAUAUAGAUAUAUAACUGCAUGUAGGUAGCGCAAACUUUAAAAGCGAUCAUCACCGAAUAUAAGAUUAAUAUCAUUCUUUCAUCAAAUCAGAUAUAAUAAUUUUACAAAAGGAAAACCUUGCACUAGCUUAUAGGUUUGAUGGUUGGAAACUUGAAGACAUUCAACCAUUAAUCCCUGGAAAAUGUGUUAUAACAAUUCCAUUUUUCGCAUUAUUAUAUGGACCGUGUAUUUCUAGUAAAAUUAUAAGGGUUUGCGGUCCGUUGAAUGUGUUGUUGUUAACCUUAUUAGACUUGUUAAACUCUACAGUAAAUUAAGCCAGACAGUUUAAUACGAAUACACGCCUGCAUGUAAGUCUCACUCUUCUUCGCUCAAUGUGCAUCAGAUAAGGGAGUGUAAGAUAAGGUGCCAAUAGGCAAUACAAUUCCUGCGCCUCGGUGUAUUAUGCAACUACAUGAAAAUAGAACAAGCUUCCAUGUUUCGAGCGAAGUUAAUAGUAACAUCGACGUUUAUUCCAUUUCUUAGGUAAUUGCAUAAUACACAGAAACCCAUAAGAUAAAAACGUUAAUAGUUUACCUGGAUUUGGAGCUUCGACUACACGUAGUUGACCAGUCUCUGCGUCAAAUACCAAUUUUUCUCCUCUAGAAUUAUGCAAUUUGCUCAAACUACCUUUUAUGUCUGAAUCCAUUUUUGCGAUAUACCAAAAGCUUGUAUGCAGACUUUAAAAUGACGUGUGCUUCAGUGAACCAAGGCUUAAAAGAAUCUUGAAUGAUCAUGUGAAUUUUGGAACGAAUCCUGAUAUUAAAUUGAUCAAUCAUGCAAUAAUUAUGCAAAGUAGUGUUUAUACUGAAUAAGUUACAACGCAGGGUGUCUGAAAGCCACCCUUGAAUAAUUUUAUCUAUUUCACUGCGACUCCGAAUAAUACGUUCUGUGUCGGCAUAAAAUUGCGAUUGUAUUAUCCAUUGUGUUUUAAUCCAUUGAUAUUUGACUGAUCAAAAUAUUACCUAUACCGCGGAUCCUUCCUCUCGCGCGAAAAACGUGUCAUGUUAACGUCGUGAAAUCGAUCAUUUGCAAGUGGCGACACUGAUUGGUCUGCGGGAGAUUGCUCUGANNNNNNNNNNNNNNNNNNNNNNNNNNNNNNNNNNNNNNNNNNNNNNNNNNNNNNNNNNNNNNNNNNNNNNNAUAUAUAUAUCUUGUUUGUCGAUGCUGACACGUAUCUGAAGAGUGCUCAAUGCAGGUAAGAUUUUGCAGAGCAAAACUAUUAUUGGUGUAGACUAAGACAUGAUAUCUGAAGAAAAUUUAAUAAAACCUAAACCUAUUUACGAUAAAAGUUACUCGAGUUUCACGCACAAAGGCGAUCAUCAGACUAAAGUGCUUUUACGGUGGAUUGCAGUUAUAAGCGUAAAAUUUCCUUUCGUGACAACACUUAGCUAUUAAUUCUGAUCUUUUGUUCAGUAGUGAUUGUUUAUCCGAGAAAAUCUGCAUUUUAAAUGCAGAUAAACAAUCACUACUGAACAAAAGAUCAGAAUUAAUAGCUAAGUGUUGUCACGAAAGGAAAUUUUACGCUUAUAACUACAAUCCANNNNNNNNNNNNNNNNNNNNUACAAUCCACCGUAAAAGCACUUUAGUCUGAUGAUCGCCUUUGUGCGUGAAACUCGAGUAACUUUUAUCGUAAAUAGGUUUAGGUUUUAUUAAAUUAUCUUCAGAUAUCAUGUCUUAGUCUACACCAAUAAUAUAUAUAUAUAUAUAUAGGACAAAUAAAACGAACAAAAAUAUGAAUGAACCUGGAUUCAAACCUUUUAACGAAUUAUGAUAUUCUUAUUUUCUCACUUAAUUUCCGAUUACUAUGUCUAUAGAUAUUUUGUCUUCAUACAGCAUCAUACCAUAUGAAGCGAGACGAAAUGCGGUAACAGUUCCAGUGAAGAAACAAGGAAGGCUAAAUAAUGCAGCUG
rnacentral:lncRNA from 1 species